CGUACACUCCUGCGGGAGGCAGCAGUGGGGAAUUUUGGACAAUGGGCGAAAGCCUGAUCCAGCCAUGCCGCGUGCAGGAUGAAGGCCUUCGGGUUGUAAACUGCUUUUGUACGGAACGAAACGGCCUUUUCUAAUAAAGAGGGCUAAUGACGGUACCGUAAGAAUAAGCACCGGCUAACUACGUGCCAGCAGCCGCGGUAAUACGUAGGGUGCAAGCGUUAAUCGGAAUUACUGGGCGUGAAGCGUGCGCAGGCGGUUAUGUAAGACAGUUGUGAAAUCCCCGGGCUCAACCUGGGAACUACAUCUGUGACUGCAUAGCUAGAGUACGGUAGAGGGGGAUGGAAUUCCGCGUGUAGCAGUGAAAUGCGUAGAUAUGCGGAGGAACACCGAUGGCGAAGGCAAUCCCCUGGACCUGUACUGACGCUCAUGCACGAAAGCGUGGGGAGCAAACAGGAUUAGAAACCCCAGUAGUCCCAUGA
rnacentral:rRNA from 1 species